AACGAACGCUGGCGGCAGGCUUAACACAUGCAAGUCGAACGCCACCUUCGGGUGGGGUGGCAGACGGGUGAGUAACGCGGGGGAACGUACCCUUCGGUUUGGAAUAUGCUCGGGAAACUGAGAGCAAUACCAAAUAAGCACUAUGGGGGAAAGAUUUAUUGCCGAAAGAUCGGCCCGCGUUAGAUUAGGUAGUUGGUGGGGUAAUGGCCUACCAAGCCUACGAUCUAAAGAUGGGCUGAGAGGAUGAUCAUGUACAUUCGGACUGAGACACGGCCCAAACUCCUACGGGAGGCAGCAGUGGGGAAUAUUGGACAAUGGGCGCAAGCCUGAUCCAGCCAUGCCGCGUGAAUGAUGAAGGCCUUAGGGUUGUAAAAUUCUUUCAACGGUGACGAUAAUGACGGUAACCGUAGAAGAAGCCCCGGCUAACUUCGUGCCAGCCGCCGCGGUAA
rnacentral:rRNA from 1 species